AACAUGAAAUACCGUGUGAACUGCACUUAUAAAAAAAAUCAUAGGUUUGCAUGCACCUACUAUCUAUCCAUUGACCAACUUUUGCGAGAUGGCGCCCGGCAAAGUGUAGAGCAACAGCACCAGGAAGAGUGCUGUGACAAGUAACACCAUAGCAAUGAUGAUGUACUUCUUGUAGUUCCGCCAAACCAGGUGGAAGAAACAUUUGAAGGGGUUGACAAACCACGAAAAGGAGGUGUCAGGUCGGCUGUGGAGUGGACACAGAGGGAACAUAGGACCGUGUCAAGUGGUUCUGGUUCCUUUCGAGCUCGGCCCACUGAGUUCUUCUCAGCCUCUUCAGCUGUCACAAGGUGGAACUCUGCCUCCACUUUUCCCUGUUCUCCAGACUUGCUGAAAGGCCACCAGCCUCUGGAUCUCUUCUGCUGGAAGAUCGAGAUCCGCUCCGUCCCAUCCGUGAAGAUGUCUACUUUGCACGAUUUGGCAGUCUUCGCGCCACGUGGGAAACCGUGGAGGUCCAACUCCACUGUGCCUGAACAUGUGCAUGCGAGGGAAGGUUAAAAGACAGCGUUCUGCAGUUAGGGCGACUCUGGCGAUGCACCUAGGAAGUCGUCGGAGGACAGCGUCUCGAAGUCCCACACUUGAAGACUGAGGAUAGCGGGCAGCUUCUGUUCAGUUUUAUCUAGGGAAAAAAUGCUGUCUCGCUUCUUCACCACCAUUACCUUUAAUGAGAAAAGUGUGAAUCCAACUAAAAAUAUCCUUGACAAAUUUUAAAAUUAUUAUCUUUGAUAACAGGACACGCUUAAAAAAUAUAUAUAUAUAAAUAUUCAUGUAAAAUAUGGUGGGGGAAAAAAUAGCGAAGGCCUAACAAAUAUUGAAGUCCUAACAAUUUGCAAAACAUUUUGUAUUAUUUGUAAUAAUGAAAUCUGUUAGUGCCAAGGACGGAUAUUCUGGGGGUGGCUGGGACACGCCGCCCUCCUCAGCUAAGAUGUCGCCCCCUCAAACUUUCUGUUCAUCGGUAAACGCAGGUUUUUUGAAAAAAAAAAAAAAAAAAAAAUGUUAAAAACUCUACUUGUCCCAAAAUAUUUGACCAAUUCACAAAAUUUACACCUCUAAAAUUCCAUGACCGUAAGUGACAAAAAAAUUACGGUUCCUCCAAAAUUCGCCAAAAACCUGCCCAUUCGUUUCAAAUGGGAUGCCAUUGACAGCCAUGUUUGUCCAAAUUUCCCCAUUCAUUUUCAUGUUUGGAAAACAUAGGUCCUAGUGAUUUUUGACCAUUUACCAUGACAGCCCAUUGACAUUCAACUGGCGCCCAAAUAAGUUGAUGCCAUUGAUAGCCAUGCACAUCAAUGCCAUUGACGGCCCUUUGCGUCCAAAUUUCCCAUUGAUUUUCAAUGGCAGAAAAACCUGUGUGGUUGUGAUAUUUGACCAAAAACUUAACAUUACAGCUCAUUGACAUUUAACUGGCGCCCAUGUAAGUCAAUGCCAGUCCCCGAAAUGUCCCCAAAUCUACAGGGAGUGACCUGAUAGAUCUGUACCUACCACAGCAAAGCCCCAUCGUAAUUUCUCUAGAAAUUGCAGUUUCUAGUUCAAAGUAAAAUCUAUUCAGUUCUCAUUUUAGUCGCGCAAUAAUGUGCUAUUUAUAUAUGAGAAUCUUUCUCUCACCCCUCCCUCUCUGAAAAUGGUUUAAUUUACUCCAUACAGUAACGACUGAACUCCAUACUGCCUGCCCUCUGCAUAAGUGCCUAUAGGGCACUGCUGCAGGAUCGGGUGAAACAUCCUCUCACAAAGUCACACAGGUUCUAAAACAUCCCAUGAACUAAAAUCUCGAAGUGCAGACUAUCUGCAUCAUUUCUCCUGCCUUGUUUAAAUGUCUACUCUCCAUUACUGAGUGCUGUUAAACUAAGCUAAAAGCUAAUAAUAGCUAAGUGUAAGGUGACAGUCACAGACAGAGAGGAGAGAAGAGAGGAGCUGCCUGUAAUCAUUUAUCUCUGUCACAACGUCUAUCUGGAUAAGUAAAUCAGAAAUAGUUGAGAUUUAAAUGAAAUUUUGUGGAUUUAUUUCCAGGAAGGAUUCAUUAUAUUAGGGGUUGAUGUUUUUUGUAGGGUUAUUCCGAUCAUGUUUUUUUGCUCCCGAUCCGAUCCCGAUCGUUUUAGUUUGAGUAUCUGCCGAUCCCGAUAUUUCCCGAUCCGAUUGCUUUUUUUUGCUCCCGAUUCAAUUCCAAUCAUUCCCGAUAAUUUUUCCCGAUCAUAUACAUUUUGGCAAUGCAUUAAGAAAAAAAUUAAUAAAACUUGGACGAAUAUAUACAUUCAACAAACAGUACAUAAGUACUGUAUUUGUUUAUUAUGACAAUAAAUCCUCAAGAUGGCAUUUACAUUAUUAAUUCUUUCUAUGAGAGGGAUCCACAGAUAGAAAGACUUGUGAAUUUGUAUAUUGUGACUAAAUAUUGCCAUCUAGUGUAUUUGUUGAGCUUUCAGUAAAUGAUACUGUAGUCAUGCCCCAAUGCAUGAUGGGAAGUGGAAACAUAACUGUACAUAGUGCUACCAAUUGAUAUAUCUUCUCUGCGUUGGGAAAUAAAAUAAGGUGUCAAGAAAAAAUCAAUUGCUACCUUGCUUCCCCACAUUGCUCCCCAUGAUAUUUCUAAUCGUAGGGAGAGGGAUUGUAAGGCUUUAGCCAAUUAAAAAAAAGCUCCAAGGGUUGCCAAAAUUCACUCUACUCAUUUUACGCUGCCUUUUGCCUCUCUAUAUAGGUAAAUUGGCGCCAUUACAGAUUGAGCGCGACAAUACGUGAGUGGGUCAUGCAACGUAUGCGUUAAUUGCGUUAAAUAUUUUAACGUGAUACAUUAAAAAAAAACAACUUAUUACCGCCGUUAUCGGAAUAAAUUUGAUAACGCUACCUUAAUCCUAAACUAUAGACUCUGGAUGAGUGUAACGUAUUAUGUCUGUAACGUUAAAUACAAUUAGAAAACGAUUUAAUUUAAAAACAAAAAAAAAUUUUUUUUAAAAGGCAUGGCCGAUAUUUUUUUGCCGAUUCCGAUUAUUUGAAAAUCACGUGAUCGGACCCGAUCAAUCGGGAUCAGGA